ACGGUCUUUUUUUUUUUUUUUUUUUAGUUUUAUUCAUUUCAAAUGGGCCGGAUUCGGCCCGCGGGCCGUAGUUUGCCCACGGCUGGUCUAAGGACUUCAGUGAAUAUGAACUUGAUCCUCAUGACAACCCUAUCAGAUCUUAGUACCUGCUGCUCAUCAGAACUUUCUGAAGAAUACUAAUUCUUAUGUAAUAAUAUUCAAAAGUCAUUACUGACCUUUGUGCUCCUAAGGUAGUACUUUCUGUGUAUCUUUAUAAUAACUUGUCCCUUGCAUUUUGUCUUCUUCCCCACAUGAGACUUUAAGCUCUGAGGACAAUGUCUUAAACAUCCAUAUGUAGUCCAGGCAAUAAUAAUACUUGGUACACAAUAGGCAUUCAGUACAAAUUUGAUAAUUACAUUAUAUACUCAUAUAUACUCUCAGCAUAAUAAACCAGUAAUAAUAGGUAACAUUUAUGAGCAUUAAGUGUCAGUCACCAUUGUUUCUGUGUCAACUGAAUCUCCACAGCAAUCUUGGAAACAUCGUAUAUUGUUUUACCAUUUCACUCAUAGGAAAAUUGACAACACACAGGGUUCAAGUAACUUUCCCAAGGUCACACAGUGAAUAAAUAGUAGAGCCAAUAUAUGAACCACACCAAUGCUACUACACUGUUUCAUCCAUGUUUUGUAGAACAGCAACCACAAAAUGGCCAGAUGGACAAUGAAAAAAUGCUUAAAACUGUAAAAAAAAAAAAAAAAAAAAUCCCCCAU